UGUGGCAAGUAGCCAUAUAAUAAGCAAGAUCAUUUCACAGUGGGGUCUUGUAUCACCCUGAAAACGAUCUAGGGAUGUACCGAAAUGAAAAUUCUUGGCCGAAACUGAAACUGCUUUGUAAUAAUUAUUUAUUAUUUUAUUAAAUAAUAUAGUCAAGACUUUUAAAUUUAACUCAAUAAUUUUAAUGAUACUGAAUAAAAAAAAAAAUCAAAAGCCAAUAAAAUAACCACGUUUAUGAAAAGUAAAAAUAAAAUUGGACAGAAAAUAUAUGAAUAUUAAAUCUCAAUAUAUUAUUUUUAUUCAGUUCUAUGAAACCGAAUUAGAUAUAACUUUCUUUGACUAAUUAUCAAAAUAAUGUAUAGUCCUACAAAGCUAUUAUUAGAGCAUGUGAGCAGAGCAAACCGUCACGAGAGGGUAGCGUCAUUUUACCAGCGUUGUCCAGUACUGCAGUACUACACCAUGUUACAGCACAGUAUGCGACACUGUUGCAAACAGGAACAAGUAUACAUAGACAUUUUCUGUCGGCGCGUUAUUUGAGCGGACUUUGCUUUUCCAGUGAGCAUAAGCCGUACACGAGUGGAGCAUUCAUAUGGGCCGUGAUCAACUCAAUGGAACGCACAUUCAUAGAGCGGAAUAUUGAGCGGAGCGUCACACAUUGAAUGGUGCGCGCUGAAUACUGCCGGGCGGCGCGGCAGAUAUUUUCGGUCGUUUAUCACUUUCGAAUCUCUACAAAAUUCGGCUGACUGUACGAGGAGCGUCUCGCUGCAGCCUGCGGUGGACAUCCAACCCCGCGCACAUCCAAGGGCGACGUCACAAACCACGCCCGUGUCCAAAAACGUCACAUUCAUUCAUCAUUUUGAAACAGGAAGAAGCAUCGAAAAGACCUUGUUGUUUGCCGUGUGGUCCAAGCCUGAUGCAGGGCAGUUCUGCCGGGUUGAGGGGUCCCUGCUGCAGUUUUACCUAUGCUAUACUAAUGGCUAAUUACAAUUCACAUGGAGGACCACAUAAGCCAUGCAGUAGUGCGUGGAGGAGUGCCAAGAGGACAUAAAGUGGAAGUUUGCAAAGGUCCAUCGUGGUGCUGGAAACGGAGUCAAUGUGAUUUAUUCUGUGGGGUGGUGAAAGGUCCUGCCUUUCUACAGAUGGACAGUAAAAAUCAACAGAAUGCCAUCAAAGACUAUCGUGGGGGGAGAAUCGGAUGAAGCAAGAGAUGUCUUUUUAUUCAUCUUUGAGUAUCUG